UACGGUAGGGUGCAAGCGUUGUCCGGAAUUAUUGGGCGUAAAGAGCUCGUAGGCGGUCUGUCGCGUCGUGCUGUGAAAACUCAGGGCUUAACCCGUGAGCUUGCAGUGGGGUACGGGGCAGACUAGAGUGCGGUAGGGGAGACUGGAAUUCCGUGGUGAUAGCGGUGAAAUGCGCAGACGUAUCAGGAGGGACACCGGUGGCGAAGGCGGGUCUCUGGGCCGUAACUGACGCUGGAGGAAGCGAAAG
rnacentral:rRNA from 1 species